AGAGUUUGAUCCUGGCUCAGAUUGAACGCUGGCGGCAUGCCUUACACAUGCAAGUCGAACGGCAGCACGGGAGCAAUCCUGGUGGCGAGUGGCGAACGGGUGAGUAAUGUAUCGGAACGUACCAUUGAGUGGGGGAUAACGUAGCGAAAGUUACGCUAAUACCGCAUAUACCCUGAGGGGGAAAGCAGGGGAUCGCAAGACCUUGUGCUCUUUGAGCGGCCGAUAUCAGAUUAGCUAGUUGGUGAGGUAAAGGCUCACCAAGGCGACGAUCUGUAGCGGGUCUGAGAGGAUGAUCCGCCACACUGGAACUGAGACACGGUCCAGACUCCUACGGGAGGCAGCAGUGGGGAAUUUUGGACAAUGGGGGCAACCCUGAUCCAGCCAUGCCGCGUGAGUGAAGAAGGCCUUCGGGUUGUAAAGCUCUUUCGGCCGGGAGGAAAUCGCAUCAGUUAAUACCUGGUGUGGAUGACAGUACCGGAAUAAGAAGCACCGGCUAACUUCGUGCCAGCAGCCGCGGUAAUA
rnacentral:rRNA from 1 species